UACAGGGGGGGCAAGCGUUGUUCGGAAUUACUGGGCGUAAAGGGCCAGUAGGCGGCCAACUAAGUCCGACGUGAAAUCCCCAAGCUUAACUUGGGAACUGCGUCGGAUACUGGAUGGCUUGAAUUCGGGAGAGGGAUGCAGAAUUCCAGGUGUAGCGGUGAAAUGCGUAGAUAUCCGGAAGAACACCGGUGGCGAAGGCGGUCUGCUGGGCAGUAGCUGACACUGAGGCGCGACAGCGUGGGGAGCAAACAGG
rnacentral:rRNA from 1 species